GUCUUUUUGAAAUAAAUUUAAAGUCUGACCUGCCCACUGAAAUAUUAAAGGGCCGCGGUAUUUUGACCGUGCAAAGGUAGCAUAAUCAUUAGUUUUUUAAUUGAAAGCUUGUAUGAAUGGUUGGACGAAAUAUUUACUGUCUCAUAAAAAUUUAUAUUAGAAAUUAAUUUUUUUGUUAAAAAGCAAAAAUAUUAUUAGAGGACGAGAAGACCCUAUAGAGCUUUAUAAUUUAAUUAUUUAAUUUUUUAAGGAAAUUUUAAAUUUUAUAAAAAUAAUUAUUUUGUUGGGGUGACAAUAAAAUUUAUAAAACUUUUAUUAUAAAUAUAACAUUGAUUAAUGAAUAUUUGAUCCAUUAUUAAUGAUUAAAAAAUUAAGUUACCUUAGGGAUAACAGCGUAAUUUUUUUUAAGAGUUCAUAUCGACAAAAAAGAUUGCGACCUCGAUGUUGGAUUAAGAGUUAUUUUUAGGUGUAGAAGUUUAAAGUUUAGGUCUGUUCGACCUUUUAAUUCUU
rnacentral:rRNA from 1 species